rnacentral:rRNA from 1 species
GACGAACGCUGGCGGCGUGCUUAACACAUGCAAGUCGAACGGAAAGGCCCUGCUUUUGUGGGGUGCUCGAGUGGCGAACGGGUGAGUAACACGUGAGUAACCUGCCCUUGACUUUGGGAUAACUUCAGGAAACUGGGGCUAAUACCGGAUAGGAGCUCCUGCUGCAUGGUGGGGGUUGGAAAGUUUCGGCGGUUGGGGAUGGACUCGCGGCUUAUCAGCUUGUUGGUGGGGUAGUGGCUUACCAAGGCUUUGACGGGUAGCCGGCCUGAGAGGGUGACCGGGCACCAUGGGACUGAGAUACGGCCCAGUAGGCUACGGGAGGCAGCAGGGGGGAAUAUUGCACAAUGGGGGGAAGCCUGAUGCAGCAACGCCGCGUGCGGGAUGACGGGCUUCGGGUUGUAAACCGCUUUCGCCGGUGACGAAGCGUGAGUGACGGUAAUGGGUAAAGAAGCACCGGCUAACUACGUG